rnacentral:rRNA from 1 species
GAUGAACGUUGACAGAAUGCUUAACACAUGCAAGUCUUUGGCGAAGCUGUGCUUGCACAGCCUAGCCAAGGCGGACGGGUGAGUAACGCGUAAGGAACUUGCCCUGCAGUCAGGGAUAACAGACGGAAACGACUGAUAAGACCUGGUAAAGUCAGGCGGACUCAUGUCCAGCCUGAUGAAAAGAGAUGCUGCAGGAGAGCCUUGCGUCCUAUUAGCUUGUUGGUGGGGUAACGGCCCACCAAGGCGAUGAUAGGUGGCCGGCCCGAGAGGGUGGACGGCCACAAGGGGAAUGAGAUACGGACCUUACUCCUACGGGAGGCAGCAGUGGGGAAUAUUGGACAAUGGGGGCAACGCUGAUCCAGCAAUGCUGUGUGCACGAUGAAGGUUUUGGGAUUGUAAAGUGCUUUCAGCAGGGAAGAGAAAAUGACGGUACCUGCAGAAGAAGCGACGGCUAAAUACGUG